UAUUAAAUGCAACUAUUUUAUUUUCGUUAUCAAUUAUAAUAUAGGAUUCACAUGAAAUUCUUAAUGAUUAAAACUUGUCUAAAUUGAAGUAUGCUGGAGCUUGUUGAGCAAUUGUAAUGUGAAGGCUCGCCAAUUGCUACCCACAUUUGUUUUGCUUAGGCAUGGAGAGUGGAGACUACACCUUCUCUUCACUUCCCUUUUCUUUUUCUUCUUUUCCAUGUAUCUUUCCUGAUGAUAAAUUUUCACCAUUAUCAUUCUUACUAGUGCUAUUUGUAGUUUCAACUUCUUCAGAGUUUUUCAGCGGAAUGAGUUGAGAUGUUUUCAUCUCUGCAACUUUACCCCACAACACUGCGUAUAGCCCGCACACGAUGAAAGUCGCUCCCAUUAUGCUUCCAAGGUGUAAAUCCUCAUCAAGUAGAAGAGAUCCCGCCAGGGCAGUAAACACAAGCAUUAGAGGGUAA
rnacentral:misc_RNA from 1 species